rnacentral:sRNA from 1 species
GGUUCGGGCUCGAACGUGGAAAAUGCUCCUGGCGCCUCAGGGAAGGUCCUUCUCAAGGAAAAGGAUGGGGCUGAAUCGCUGGAAACGGUUCACAAGGAAGCCGAGUCCCAAGAUUAAUACCUGACUGAUCUGGGUGGAAAUUUAUAUUUUCUGCUUUGUAAAACAGUAGAAGUCAGAUUGAUUAACCUUCAGUUUUUAUUGGGCCAAACAAGAUCCCUGAUCUAGCCUGCUUUUGGUCCUGACAAUGUGGAACACUGGAUAAAGAGAGUGGAGAAAGCCUCAGAGUUUGCAGUGUCAAAUGCAUUUUUUACUAGAAAUUCAGAUUUACCUAGAAGUCCCUGGGGCCAAAUCACAGAUUUGAAAACAUCUGAGCAAAUAGAGGAUCAUGAUGAAAUCUAUGCAGAAGCUCAGGAGCUGGUCAAUGACUGGUUAGACACCAAACU